rnacentral:rRNA from 1 species
GAUGAACGCUGGCGGCGUGCCUAAUACAUGCAAGUCGAGCGAACAGACGAGGAUCUUGCUCCUCUGACGUUAGCGGCGGACGGGUGAGUAACACGUGGAUAACCUACCUAUAAGACUGGGAUAACUUCGGGAAACCGGAGCUAAUACCGGAUAAUAUAUUGAACCGCAUGGUUCAAUAGUGAAAGACGGUUUUGCUGUCACUUAUAGAUGGAUCCGCGCCGCAUUAGCUAGUUGGUAAGAUAACGGCUUACCAAGGCAACGAUGCGUAGCCGACCUGAGAGGGUGAUCGGCCACACUGGAACUGAGACACGGUCCAGACUCCUACGGGAGGCAGCAGUAGGGAAUCUUCCGCAAUGGGCGAAAGCCUGACGGAGCAACGCCGCGUGAGUGAUGAAGGUCUUCGGAUCGUAAAACUCUGUUAUUAGGGAAGAACAAAUGUGUAAGUAACUAUGCACGUCUUGACGGUACCUAAUCAGAAAGCCACGGCUAACUACGUG